rnacentral:lncRNA from 1 species
GGCUUCUGGGUGCGGCAAUCUAAUUGAAAUUCAAGGUCUUGAUGGCGCGAAGUCCUUAGAAGAGUUGGAUUUUACAGGAUGCAAAUCAAUGGAGACUUUGCCAGAUUUGACGAGAUGUGAGAAAUUACGAUCUCUAAGAGUUUGAGACUGCAAGAAACUUGCUCAGCUUUGGGGACUUGAAAUGUUGAAUUUAACUUAUUUGGAUAUUUCUGGUUGUGACUCAUUGGAAGCAAUACCUAACUUAUUAUUAUAUGAAUGCAAGUGUCCCAAUCUAGUUGAAAUUCAAGGUCUUGACGGUGCGAAGUUCUUAGAAGAGUUGGAUCUUACAGGAUGCAAAUCAAUGAAGACUUUGCCAGAUUUGACAGGAUUUGAGAAGCUACAAUUUCUAAUAGUUCAAGACUGCAAGAAACUUACUCAUCUUCGGGGACUUAAAAUGUUGAAUUUAAUUUAUUUGAAUAUUUCUGGUUGUGACUCAUUGGAAGGAAUACCUAAAUUAUUUUUAUAUGAAUGCAAGCGUUUGGAGACAUUCAAGGCUUCUAGGUGCGGCAAUCUAAUUGAAAUUCAAGGUCUCGACGGUGCGAAGUCCUUAGAAGAGUUGGAUUUUACAGGAUGCAAAUCAAUGGAGACUUUGCCAGAUUUGACAGGAUGUGAGAAAUUACGAUCUCUAAGAGUUCAAGACUGCAAGAAACUUACUCAGCUUCGGGGACUUAAAAUGUUGAAUUUAACUUAUUUGGAUAUUUCUGGUUGUGACUCAUUGGAAGCAAUACCUAAAUUAUUUUUAUAUGAAUGCAAGCGUUUGAAGACAUUCAAGGCUUUUGGGUGCGGCAAUCUAGUUGAAAUUCAAGGUCUUGACGGUGCGAAGUUCUUAGAAACGUUGGAUCUUACAGGAUGCAAAUCAAUGGAGGCUUUGCCAGAUUUGAUAGGAUUUGAGAAGCUACGAUCUCUAAUAGUUCGAGACUGCAAGAAACUUGCUCAGCUUCGGGGGCUUGAAAUGUUGAAUUUAACUUAUUUGGAUAUUUCUGGUUAUGACUCAUUGGAAGCAAUACCUAACUUAUCUGGAACACGCGUCAAUAGAAAU